rnacentral:rRNA from 1 species
AUGAACGCUGGCGGUAUGCUUAACACAUGCAAGUCGAACGGACUCUUCGGAGUUAGUGGCGGACGGGUGAGUAACGCGUGAGAAUCUGGCUUUGGGUUCGGGACAACCACUGGAAACGGUGGCUAAUACCGGAUGUGCCGAGAGGUAAAAGAGAAAUUGCCUGAAGAUGAGCUCGCGUCUGAUUAGCUAGUUGGUGAGGUAAAGGCUCAACAAGGCAGCGAUCAGUAGCUGGUCUGAGAGGCUGACCAGCCACACUGGGACUGAGACACGGCCCAGACUCCUACGGGAGGCAGCAGGGGGGAAUUGUCCGAAAUGGGCGAAAGCCUGACGGAGCAGUACCGCGUGGGGGAAGAAGGCUCUUGGGUUGUAAACCUCUUUUCUUAGGGAAGAACAAAAUGACGGUACCUAAGGAAGCAGCAUCGGCUAACUCCGUG